rnacentral:tRNA from 5 species
AAGAUUCUAGUAAAAACAUUACGUAGCAAUGUCAACGCUAAAUUACAGUAACACCCUGUGAAUCUU